rnacentral:rRNA from 1 species
AGCGAACGCUGGCGGCAGGCCUAACACAUGCAAGUCGGACGAACCCUUCGGGGUAGUGGCGGACGGGUGAGUAACACGUGGGAACGUGCCUUUAGGUUCGGAAUAACUCAGGGAAACUUGUGCUAAUACCGAAUGUGCCCUUCGGGGGAAAGAUUUAUCGCCUUUAGAGCGGCCCGCGUCUGAUUAGCUAGUUGGUGAGGUAAUGGCUCACCAAGGCUACGAUCAGUAGCUGGUCUGAGAGGAUGACCAGCCACAUUGGGACUGAGACACGGCCCAAACUCCUACGGGAGGCAGCAGUGGGGAAUCUUGCGCAAUGGGCGAAAGCCUGACGCAGCCAUGCCGCGUGGAUGAUGAAGGUCUUAGGAUUGUAAAAUCCUUUCACCGGUGAAGAUAAUGACUGUAGCCGGAGAAGAAGCCCCGGCUAACUUUGUGCCAGCCGCCGCAGUAAAAC